UGGGGAAUAUUGCACAAUGGGCGCAAGCCUGAUGCAGCCAUGCCGCGUGUAUGAAGAAGGCCUUCGGGUUGUAAAGUACUUUCAGCGAGGAGGAAGGCGUUGUGGUUAAUAACCGCGACGAUUGACGUUACUCGCAGAAGAAGCACCGGCUAACUCCGUGCCAGCAGCCGCGGUAAUACGGAGGGUGCAAGCGUUAAUCGGAAUUACUGGGCGUAAAGCGCACGCAGGCGGUCUGUCAAGUCGGAUGUGAAAUCCCCGGGCUCAACCUGGGAACUGCAUCCGAAACUGGCAGGCUAGAGUCUUGUAGAGGGGGGUAGAAUUCCAGGUGUAGCGGUGAAAUGCGUAGAGAUCUGGAGGAAUACCGGUGGCGAAGGCGGCCCCCUGGACAAAGACUGACGCUCAGGUGCGAAAGCGUGGGGAGCAAACA
rnacentral:rRNA from 1 species